GGAGAGAGUCCAGGGAAGGGUAAAUCAAGAAACCAGAAGAUCUGAGGAGGCAGAUUGGGAUCUGGCAGGAGAGGGUUCUGCUGCAUGUUUUGGUCAUGACUUAGGGAAGGCACAGUCACCGAGUGAUGGAUCUGCACCAAGACUUGCCUCGGUCUUUUCUGCAUAAGAACGUGCGGAAGAAUGAUGGUUGGUGCAAGGGGAAGCCAUGGAAAGCCAUGAGUGCCUGUUCAGAAAUCCAGUGGGAAAGAUGAUUCAUGCCAUGUAGUGACACAAGGGCACAAGUGCUGCACUUCAGUCGCUCCACUGAAUUCUAUGGGAUUUUCUGUCUGCUGGAUCACUGGUAAGUCAGGCUCCAUAUACCGAAAGCGUUUGUUUCAGAAAGAUGUAGGAAAUGCUUGGGCUGUGAUCAAGGAAACAGGAAUUUUAACAUUUGUUUCAACCUGUUCCAAAGUUCAUCUUACAUUUCCUUGACCAUUUGUGUAAUCAAUCUGUUAGUGCUCAGUAGAAACUAGGACAAAAGGAUCUGAUCUUUCUUGUGCAUUUGAUGUAAUUGCUUCUAUUUACAGAGGUGGAAUAGAUUCUGCAAAUUCUAGCAGAUAUUUCAUAAGCAAAAAUGUGAAAUGAUACCCAAAAAGAGGAUUAGAAUCGAACUCCUGUAGUAAAAUUAUCUCCCAGUUUUGUUUUUAGGGCAUGUAAAAAUUACUUUGACAUUGGCUUUUGCCAGCAGAGGAGUCCGUUAAAUACAAUCAAUCUCUUAGCUCAUGUCAGGAAGACAGCGAUAGAGAAGAUGACUCUUACUAAAGCUUCAGGUAGAUGCUGUGCAUCAGACUGGUGAGCAAGAUUAAAUCUCUGAAGGCUCUGGCUGUCUCAAUCUCCAUUGAAGUUGCUGGGAUCUGAAGACACAACUUUCUUAUUACGGUGCUGUUUGCUAUAAGUGUUAAUAUGGUCAAAGGAAGACUACCCACCAAAGACUGUACACAAGAACUCCUUUGAAAUAACCAAAGUGGAGCUGGUAGGACUGAGUUUGAAGUCUGACUCAGACUGUUAAAAAACAGAAGAGCCCACCCCAGAGCAGUUCCUUAUGGCAAUUAAAAAAUAACUCCAGUAAGCAGGCACAGCCAUUGUGGAAAGCCACUGUAGCCCUUAUACUGGCCCCUGAAACAUCAUGGGACAACACAGCAAGGUUUCAAGAUACUCAGGCCUCUCAUUCAUAGACAAGAGUUUAAAAUUCUACAAUGAAGAGAAACAGAGCCAGAAGACUCCUCUCAGUCAUGGAAAACACACUCUGCAACAGAUGGAAAGAGAAUAGAGGAAAUUAAAUUACUUUGCUCUGCCAAGCCUACAUAAGAAGUCCACAUUACAGAGAUGCACCAAAUACAAGUGACUCUGCACCUUUGACAACACAAGUACAAACGAGGGCAACCACACUGACCAGUCAAAUGAAGAAGAGGGAAGAGGGGGGAGAAAGAGGAAGAUGAUUUAAUAGGGACCACCAGAUGGGGAUGUGACCACCCAGAGGAGAAUACAACGCAUGCGCCGGAGGGGAGGGACUUGAUUAAUGAAUAUGUAGUGGGGUUCAACGUAACCUGUUGAAUAUGUAUGAACUUGACUUACAAAUAUGUAGCAUUUCUGUAGACCGAUAUGCAAGUUAGGUGGAGCUAUCCCCCUUGCAUCCAGUUCUGCGCAGCGUUGAUUAAAACACACCUGAUUUUAUAACUACUUUGUGGUUAUAGAGUUUGAUUCUGCAAGUCAGUAAUGCUAGAUGGCUUUUCUCAGUCACAAGAAAGGUAUUUUUCUAUGUCAAGCAAUUCCCUUUCACUUUCCUGCUCUUCAAGUUCUCCAGGAGACAGGGCUGUACAGAAUGCAUUGCAUACGGUACAAGUGGGAUGACACAUCUCCAUGGCAAGGUGCCCUUUGAACCACGCUCUGGAAGUAUGAUCUGAAGAGCCCUCAGGCUCAAGGAUUUCUCUUCUCUUGCACUAAGCCAGCACUCACAUCGGUGCUGGCUGCACACCUCUGAGGAAAGAGCUGCAAAACCCACUAGGCAGCUCUCUGUAUUUGCAAGAUUCUUAAUUCAUCCCAGUGUUUACAAGUUCUGUGAAAAACAAAACAACAACAAAGAAGAUCCUACCAAAACUCAGAAAUUGCAACCUUUCAUGUAGACCACUCAGUUCUGAAACAGUAACAAUUCCCAUAGACUUUAGAUAUUUUCCCAGGAAGGAAAACAAGCCUGUAGUUCCAACAUAGCAAAGCAUCACUGUUAAAAAGUUAGAACAUCUUCUAAAUCAAUUGCUGCUGCAACAUAGCGUUUUGAAUACUGUCCAGAUGAGUAUGAGUAGAAAGGUCUCUUCCUAGAAAUACCAAAAUAGUAUUUUCAUUGCUAUUUGUAGUAACAGUGGCAACAAAUUUAUCAGCUUCUACUGCAUCCUGCUUUACAGGUGCUAAUUCUCCUUUGGAGUGCAGAUGCAUAAGCUAACAAAGGCAGGAAUAACUCCCUUUGUCCCAGGGGAAGGGAUGGCUGCUGCAGAAUCCCAUUUCCCGCAGUGGGAAGCUGCUGCUCUGAACUCUCCUGUAA
rnacentral:lncRNA from 1 species